CGGGGCCGGGCGGCCCCGGGAUGGCGGCGGCUGAGGGGCGCCUCAGGGUAGGAGAGGCUUCCUUCCCACGACCAAAAUUUGCUGUGCAUCUCCUGGGCAGGACAUUUGGAUCUGCAGCCUGGAGAAUUUCAUUGUGCUGGAGCUUACGGCCUGAAACAGUCUUAGCCUCAGUAAAGCACUUCCAGAGCAGGUAAAAGUUUUGUCUGGUGACAAGAGUUGAACUUGUGGGACUUCAGGUGGUAAUUACACUACAAAACUUCCUGCUUAAUUGAGUAGAAAAUGGGAACAGUCCCCAGAACCAACUGCCAUUAAGAGACAUAGUGGUAUUAGACAUCAGUGAUACAAUUUCAGUGCCUGAAUCUUAAAACUAGAAGGGUUUUUGUAUUUAUAUAUGUAUAUCUCUUUAUUUUGAUUGCGGUAACAGAAAAGGAUUUUUUUUUUUUUUUAAUAUAUAAAGAAUGAACAAUACUCAAAGCAUUUACUUUCAACUUCCCUUGAGGAGAAAACUAGGGAUCUGUAACAGCCAGACAUUUGCUGAAUAGCCCUUUGCAGAAUUGCAAUAUCCAAGCUUGCCUCACUUCAGGUCAAUAAAUAAGAGGUAAAAACAGAUUAAACCAAACAGUUUCAAGAUAUCACUUAAAAUGUGAUGAAAUAUUUAAUGUACCAGAAAUUGAUUUUGCAAACUAAACCUUUACAACUUUGAAUGGAAACAAUGCUGGUUGUCUCUUGGGUUUAACUGCAUUCCCCCAUAUGGAUUUGUGUUUUACAAAGUUUCAGGAAAAUGUUAAUGAAUAAAAGCACUUAGAUUUACCUGAAUGUCCCUGAAAGGUUUUAUUAUGCAGCAAAUUAAUUCAACAAAUUUUUAGCCGAAUGCAUAUUUGACUACAUUUUAUGUGUAAAAUAUUCUUGAGUGACAAUUUCUAUCUAAUGAGAUUUUGAUGAGGCAGAGAGCAAAUUUUGAGAUAAAUUUUGAGACAGAGAAAAUCUGGAACCCAGUAAAUAUCCAGUGAAGGUCAGCCUUGGUGUCUCUGCUGCAUGAUUUGAGGAAGCAGUAAAGGCAUUUUGGAAAGUGAAUGUGUGUGAAGAGCCAGAUGUACAGGAACAUGGAAAACUACAUCAAUGUUUCUUUUUGUACCUUUUUUUUUUUUUAACAGAAGAAUAAACAAAGUACCAAAUGCUCAAGUUUCAAUUCCAA